rnacentral:rRNA from 1 species
UACGGAGGGUGCGAGCGUUGUCCGGAAUCACUGGGCGUAAAGGGCGCGUAGGCGGCUUGGCAAGUCAACGGUGAAAGCUUGGGGCUCAACCCCGAGUCGGCCGUCGAUACUGCUGGGCUGGAGCACUGUAGAGGCAGGUGGAAUUCCGGGUGUAGCGGUGGAAUGCGUAGAGAUCCGGAAGAACACCGGUGGCGAAGGCGGCCUGCUGGGCAGUAGCUGACGCUGAGGCGCGACAGCGUGGGGAGCAAACAGG